AGAGUUUGAUCCUGGCUCAGAUUGAACGCUGGCGGCAUGCCUAACACAUGCAAGUCGAACGGCAGCAUAAGAGAGCUUGCUCUCUUGAUGGCGAGUGGCGAACGGGUGAGUAACGCGUAGGAACCUACCCCAGAGCGGGGGACAACCCGAGGAAACUCGGGCUAAUACCGCAUAAUCUCUGAGGAGCAAAGAGUGCCACUAUUUAUAAGCACUCACUUUGGGAUGGGCCUGCGUCCGAUUAGCUAGUUGGUAAGGUAAGAGCUUACCAAGGCGACGAUCGGUAGCUGUUCUGAGAGGAAGAUCAGCCACACUGGGACUGAGACACGGCCCAGACUCCUACGGGAGGCAGCAGUGGGGAAUAUUGGACAAUGGGGGCAACCCUGAUCCAGCAAUGCCGCGUGUGUGAAGAAGGCCUGCGGGUUGUAAAGCACUUUCAAUGGGGAGGAAGGGUUGAAUGUUAAUAGCAUUCAACAUUGACGUUACCUAUAGAAGAAGCACCGGCUAACUCUGUGCCAGCAGCCGCGGUAAUACAGAGGGUGCAAGCGUUAAUCGGAAUUACUGGGCGUAAAGGGUGCGUAGGUGGAUAUUCAAGUUGGGUGUGAAAGCCCCGGGCUUAACCUGGGACGGUCAUUCAAAACUGGGUAUCUAGAGUACAGUAGAGGAUAGUGGAAUUUUCGGUGUAGCGGUGAAAUGCGUAGA
rnacentral:rRNA from 1 species